AUGGUGAAGGCCAGCGAACUUGUGAAAUGGUCCUUAGUAUUUGAAGAUAGUGGUAGCGCGGCCCUUAUGAGAAUUGAGUUCCUCGUUGUGGCCAUUGCAUCCAUCUUCCUCCUGAUGUCAUUGUUGGACAUGUUCCGUCGUCGGUGCCGCCACUCCACCAUCAAGUACCUCUUACUUGCCCUCGACGCCAUAAGCGAUACCUCAUUCAUCUACACAAUUGGGCUGAUGCAGAGUGCACCCUUCAAGAAAGAUCUGUUUUCAAUAUGGGCGCUCAUAUUGGUCAACCUCCGGUUCAGUGCUUGCUUCAUCUCGGCAUACGGCAUCCCUGACCAAGACAACAGACGGAUGACCAAGGGCGUAAGAGUGGUUUCAUUUCUAGGGGUGUCCUUCUUAAUCGGCACGCAGAACAGUCAGUUUAAGCACCCGAUCUGGGUACUCUGGGCAAUGCAGCCAGUGAGAAGUAUAUACAUACGAGUUGCGUACUAUAAGGCCACAAGAUCAUUCUUGCACGGUUGGAGCUCGCCGCUUCUGACAGCAUAUAUGGGUACCGAAGAUGGUAUUUGUAAGGAUGGGGAUCCGACUACAAUGGUGGCAUAUAAGUACUUGGUCUCUGGAGAUCAGAAGCAGAAAGUCGAACUGCAGGCGCCUAGGUAUAAAUUUUGUUUGGAGUCACAAGGACGGUUCAUCACUCUUGACAAGACUUGGAAGCUGCUCAGCGAGCAGCAUUCAGACACCGGUGCAGGGGACGUCCAACCAUCAUGGGCCAAAGACAUGUGCCUGUCCUUUGCACUAUACCGGCUACUCCGUUGCAGAUUUGACGACUUACCCCUGCCAGCCGAUAGCAUUGCUAGCACCAGAAAACUAAUGUAUGAAAUUAUUGGCAAGAAGAGCAGAGAUUUGACAGCGCAAAUAGACCACCAUGCUGAGAGAACAUUCAGAAUUGCUAAGUUGGAGCUAACGUUCCUCAACGACUACUUCUACACAAGAUACCCCAUCCUUUUUUGGCGUGGCUUCCCACUGCUUUUUGCUUGGUACCCUCUCUUGACGAUUGCUCUCAUCACUUGGCUUGGAAGGGACAUUCAUAAACUCUACAAGCCUAAGAAGGAGGAAAUUGCCCACGUCGUGCACGGGGUCAAUGUUGAUCUCAUCAUCACAUGGAUAUUCAUGGGCAUUAUCGUGAUCAAGGAGUUUUGGAAGGUGGUCACCUACUUGUUGUCCGACUGGACCAAGGUGAUGCUGCUGUGCGAAUACACCUCGAGGACCCUGAAGUGGAUUCCACAGUGGCUGUGGAAGUUAUUGCUUCAGAUCUUGUGCACACCAAGAUGUAGAAUUGUGCGCCGUUGGCACAAUAAGAUCGGUCAGUAUGAAUUCUUGCAGUCAUUUGGUCACAAUCCUAGGAACAUUCUUUACUGGUUAAGCCUUGGCUUGGUCCCAAAAGAAAUAAGAGGUGCAAAAGUAAGCAGCCCAACGGAGCUCCCAAGAGAUCUGAAAGCCGCCGUUCUCAAGUCACUUUGCUCGUUAGAUCUUGAGCAGAACUCAUUAGAGUCAGACCUGCCAACUGAUCUCAGGCAGUUCCCUUUUAAGCGGACUUUCGAACUGCCAACAUGGUGCCACAGCAUUCUUGUGUGGCAUAUAGCAACAAGCCUGUGUGAGAUUGAGCUUGCUCAAUGCUACAACACAAGCUUAACCACUUCUGAGUUACUGUGUGCAAUCAAGACUGCUCUCAGUUGUUUCUCCUCCCAGCCAUAUCUUAUAAAGGAAGAUAGAAUUGAAGGGGCGCUGCGAGCUAAUUAUAUAGCUGCCAACAGUAUAUCGCGCUACUGCGCCUAUCUGCUUGUAAUAGAACCAGAUUUGCUACCCGACAGUUUCUUAACUGCCGAUGACAUAUUCAGAAGCACCGUCGAUGAGUCUUUAGAUAUCCUGAAGGGCUGUGACACUCUGCAAAGCAUUUACAGGACGCUAAUUCGAGAAGGAGUGCCUGAACAAGAUGGCAACACAAGUGUCAUAAGAAAGGAAAGAUCAAACACCCACCACAAUAUGAUACUUCAGAAAGCUGCAGACCUUGCUUGCUAUCUGAUUCAUGAGAUCCCUGAUGAAGUAGUUCGUUGGAAAGUCCUCGCAGAAGUCUGGGCCGAUAUACUGGUACACACAGCGCCCUCAUGGAAUGCCUCGGCUCACAAGAAAUGCCUUGCAACAGGUAGUGAGUUCAUAACUCAUAUAUGGGUCAUUCUUUCUCACUGCAAUAUCCACAGCAGCAAGCGCUGGCCAUAUCCGAAAACCCCAGAUGAUGGCAACCAUGGCGACCAAGGGCAGGACCCAACUGCAGGUGGUUCUGGUGAUCAGCCGUUGGCACACGAAGCGCCAGCAAGGGUUCCGUCAAAUGGAGCACUAGAAGAACAAGGCCAACCAUGGAGUCCAAUUCUGGGGCAGCAUUUAACCCAACAGCUUGCUCCGAGUGAAACAGAAGAAAUCAGCGAAAUACAAGAGGUCCGAGAUGAUUGGAGAGAAUGA
rnacentral:rRNA from 1 species